GACGAACCGAGCGAACGUUGUUCGGAAUCACUGGGCUUAAAGGGCGCGUAGGCGGGUGCUCAAGUCCGGGGUGAAAUCCUCCAGCUCAACUGGAGAACUGCCUCGGAUACUGGGUGCCUCGAGGGUGGUAGGGGUAUGCGGAACUAUCGGUGGAGCGGUGAAAUGCGUUGAUAUUGGAAGGAACUCCGGUGGCGAAAGCGCGCUGCUGGAUCUCUACUGACGCUGAGGCGCGAAAGCUAGGGGAGCAAACGGG
rnacentral:rRNA from 1 species